UACGGAGGGGGCGAGCGUUGUCCGAAGUUACUGGGCGUAAAGCGCGCGUAGGCGGGUUGGUAAGUCCGCUGUGAAAGCCCGGAGCUUAACUCCGGAGGGUCGGUGGAUACUGCCAGUCUUGAAGGUGCUAGGGGGAGAUGGAAUUCCAGGUGUAGCGGUGAAAUGCGUAGAUAUCUGGAGGAACACCGGUGGCGAAGGCGGCAUCCUGGACCGGCAUUGACGCUGAGGCGCGAAAGCCAGGGGAGCAAACGGG
rnacentral:rRNA from 1 species